AUUGAACGCUGGCGGCAGGCCUAACACAUGCAAGUCGAGCGGAUGAAGGGAGCUUGCUCCUGGAUUCAGCGGCGGACGGGUGAGUAAUGCCUAGGAAUCUGCCUGGUCGUGGGGGAUAACGUCCGUAAACGGGCGCUAAUACCGCAUACGUCCUGAGGGUGAACGUGGGGGAUCUUCGGACCUCACGCUAUCAGAUGAGCCUAGGUCGGAUUAGCUAGUUGGUGGGGUAAAGGCCUACCAAGGCGACGAUCCGUAACUGGUCUGAGAGGCUGAUCAGUCACACUGGAACUGAGACACGGUCCAGACUCCUACGGGAGGCAGCAGUGGGGAAUAUUGGACAAUGGGCGAAAGCCUGAUCCAGCCAUGCCGCGUGUGUGAAGAAGGUCUUCGGAUUGUAAAGCACUGUAAGUUGGGAGGAAGGGCAGUAAGUUAAUACCUUGCUGUUUUGACGGUACCAACAGAAUAAGCACCGGCUAACUUCGUG
rnacentral:rRNA from 1 species